rnacentral:rRNA from 1 species
GCUACACAUGCAAGUCGAGCGGUAGAGAGGUGCUUGCACCUCUUGAGAGCGGCGGACGGGUGAGUAAUGCCUAGGAAUCUGCCUGGUAGUGGGGGAUAACGCUCGGAAACGGACGCUAAUACCGCAUACGUCCUACGGGAGAAAGCAGGGGACCUUCGGGCCUUGCGCUAUCAGAUGAGCCUAGGUCGGAUUAGCUAGUUGGUGGGGUAAUGGCUCACCAAGGCGACGAUCCGUAACUGGUCUGAGAGGAUGAUCAGUCACACUGGAACUGAGACACGGUCCAGACUCCUACGGGAGGCAGCAGUGGGGAAUAUUGGACAAUGGGCGAAAGCCUGAUCCAGCCAUGCCGCGUGUGUGAAGAAGGUCUUCGGAUUGUAAAGCACUUUAAGUUGGGAGGAAGGGCAUUAACCUAAUACGUUAGUGUUUUGACGUUACCGACAGAAUAAGCACCGGCUAACUCUGUGCCAGCAGCCGCGGUAAUACAGAGGGUGCAAGCGUUAAUCGGAAUUACUGGGCGUAAAGCGCGCGUAGGUGGUUCGUUAAGUUGGAUGUGAAAUCCCCGGGCUCAACCUGGGAACUGCAUUCAAAACUGUCGAGCUAGAGUAUGGUAGAGGGUGGUGGAAUUUCCUGUGUAGCGGUGAAAUGCGUAGAUAUA